rnacentral:rRNA from 1 species
UACGUAGGGUGCAGGCGUUAAUCGGAAUUACUGGGCGUAAAGCGUGCGCAGGCGGCUCCUUAAGUCAGAUGUGAAAGCCCCGGGCUUAACCUGGGAACUGCGUUUGAAACUGGGGAGCUAGAGUGUAGAAGAGGGGGGUGGAAUUCCAGGUGUAGCAGUGAAAUGCGUAGAUAUCAGGAAGAACACCUAUGGCGAAGGCAGCACUCUGGGACGGUACUGACGCUGAGACGCGAAAGCGUGGGGAGCGAACAGG